CGGUAGCACAGAGAGCUUGCUCUCGGGUGACGAGUGGCGGACGGGUGAGUAAUGUCUGGGAAACUGCCUGAUGGAGGGGGAUAACUACUGGAAACGGUAGCUAAUACCGCAUAACGUCGCAAGACCAAAGAGGGGGACCUUCGGGCCUCUUGCCAUCAGAUGUGCCCAGAUGGGAUUAGCUAGUAGGUGGGGUAACGGCUCACCUAGGCGACGAUCCCUAGCUGGUCUGAGAGGAUGACCAGCCACACUGGAACUGAGACACGGUCCAGACUCCUACGGGAGGCAGCAGUGGGGAAUAUUGCACAAUGGGCGCAAGCCUGAUGCAGCCAUGCCGCGUGUAUGAAGAAGGCCUUCGGGUUGUAAAGUACUUUCAGCGGGGAGGAAGGUGUUGUGGUUAAUAACCGCAGCAAUUGACGUUACCCGCAGAAGAAGCACCGGCUAACUCCGUGCCAGCAGCCGCGGUAAUACGGAGGGUGCAAGCGUUAAUCGGAAUUACUGGGCGUAAAGCGCACGCAGGCGGUCUGUCAAGUCGGAUGUGAAAUCCCCGGGCUCAACCUGGGAACUGCAUUCGAAACUGGCAGGCUAGAGUCUUGUAGAGGGGGGUAGAAUUCCAGGUGUAGCGGUGAAAUG
rnacentral:rRNA from 1 species